AGUGAACGCUGGCGGUAGGCCUAACACAUGCGAGUCGAACGGCAGCACAGUAAGAGCUUGCUCUUACGGGUGGCGAGUGGCGGACGGGUGAGGAAUACAUCGGAAUCUACUUUUUCGUGGGGGAUAACGUAGGGAAACUUACGCUAAUACCGCAUACGACCUACGGGUGAAAGCAGGGGAUCUUCGGACCUUGCGCGAUUGAAUGAGCCGAUGUCGGAUUAGCUAGUUGGCGGGGUAAAGGCCCACCAAGGCGACGAUCCGUAGCUGGUCUGAGAGGAUGAUCAGCCACACUGGAACUGAGACACGGCCCAGACUCCUACGGGAGGCAGCAGUGGGGAAUAUUGGACAAUGGGCGCAAGCCUGAUCCAGCCAUACCGCGUGGGUGAAGAAGGCCUUCGGGUUGUAAAGCCCUUUCGUUGGGAAAGAAAAGCAGCAGGUUAAUACCCCGCUGUUCUGACGGUACCCAAAGAAUAAGCACCGGCUAACUUCGUG
rnacentral:rRNA from 1 species